GAAAUGAGAAGAGGCGCGUUGUUCAGGCAGCCGGCAGCAGGAGUCGCCACUCCGAGGAUCGCCGGUCAGGGGAGCAACGCCGAGACGGCGGCCGGUGGCAGAACGGUCGCGGUCGGCCGCGAAGGCUGAAUCCUUCGGGCUGUCACCUGUUGGGUGGAGUGCUUCCUGAUGA
rnacentral:ncRNA from 2 species